AACGGGUGAGUAACACGUGGGCAAUCUGCCCUUCACUCUGGGACAAGCCCUGGAAACGGGGUCUAAUACCGGAUACAACCACCGGCCGCAUGGUCUGGUGGUGGAAAGCUCCGGCGGUGAAGGAUGAGCCCGCGGCCUAUCAGCUUGUUGGUGAGGUAACGGCUCACCAAGGCGACGACGGGUAGCCGGCCUGAGAGGGCGACCGGCCACACUGGGACUGAGACACGGCCCAGACUCCUACGGGAGGCAGCAGUGGGGAAUAUUGCACAAUGGGCGAAAGCCUGAUGCAGCGACGCCGCGUGAGGGAUGACGGCCUUCGGGUUGUAAACCUCUUUCAGCAGGGAAGAAGCGAAAGUGACGGUACCUGCAGAAGAAGCGCCGGCUAACUACGUGCCAGCAGCCGCGGUAAUACGUAGGGCGCGAGCGUUGUCCGGAAUUAUUGGGCGUAAAGAGCUCGUAGGCGGUCUGUCGCGUCGGAUGUGAAAGCCCGGGGCUUAACCCCGGGUCUGCAUUCGAUACGGGCAGACUAGAGUGUGGUAGGGGAGAUCGGAAUUCCUGGUGUAGCGGUGAAAUGCGCAGAUAUCAGGAGGAACACCGGUGGCGAAGGCGGAUCUCUGGGCCAUUACUGACGCUGAGGAGCGAAAGCGUGGGGAGCGAACAGGAUUAGAUA
rnacentral:rRNA from 1 species